UAGGGAGACCUGUUUGACAAUCGGUAAUUAAGAUGAAAGUCUUAGUUGCGUUUGUCAAAGCAUCCCAAGGUCGUACGAGGCAGUACGUUUAAACUUUUAAACUAUUAACCGGUUCGGUGCAUGGGCUAUUAGCUCAGGUGGUUAGAGCGCACCCCUGAUAAGGGUGAGGUCCCUGGUUCGAGUCCAGGAUGGCCCAUCCUCUGCACUGUGAGUGAUAAGUAAUUAGGAACUCAACCCUCAGCACCUUAUUUUGGUAACAAUCAAAACUUGAUUGGUCUCAAAAGAGAAUGCUGGGCGUAAAGUCCAGUCAUGUACCUUGAAAACUGCAUAGCAAAAAGAAGAGAAACUUGAAGAAAUUUCUAGUAGCAAGUGCUUACUUAAGUUAAGGACAGCUAGAUAGAGAAACAAUCAAGAAUAUUAAAGU
rnacentral:tRNA from 1 species